CGUUGGAUCUCAGGAUGGCUGCUAAAAUGGACGUCGUUCCUUCUUGAAAAUUUCACGACUGAUUUUGUGUCUUUCUUAAAUCUGGGUUUUGUGAAUAAAAUCCAAGGAAACUUGUUAAAGAGAAGGAGGAGGAGCAGGGCUCGACUUUACCACGUUUGUCAUCUCCGUUUGGCAAAUACGCCCACUUUUGUUCCAAAGGUGCUUAACAAUCUAUAUCUUCUAGAUACUAACAGAUCUUUGGGACUUACCUGGUGUGCUGUGUGGGCUGCAGAGUUGGCCCGUGGCAGAAAGGAAUUCUGUGAAUGUUCUUUGUUU